rnacentral:misc_RNA from 1 species
CCGCGGAAUCCAGUAAAAUCUGCUCUGGGGGACGAAAAAGUCGGACGUCGAUCUGGCGAAGAAAGCAAAACGCGAGAUGGGGAAAUAUCUUUUCAUCUACUGCCCAUAACCGUCUCGAGCAUGAGCACGUGGCUCAUAUCUCUAAAGAAGAAGCGGAAGAAGGAGAUGGGAUUUUUAAGAAGCUUUACAAUGUUUCCUUCGCAUUCAAUUUGGUUAACAUGAAAGGAUGACCGAUUUUUUGAACAGAUAAAAUGAGAUAAAAUCAAGAGAAAAUUGUGAUGUUAAUCUAGUUAGGUAGAUUAGACUAAGCGAAGACUA